UCCCAUCCAAGUACUAACCAGGCCCGCCCCUGCUUAGCUUCCAAGAUCAGAUGAGAUCAGGCGAGUUCAGGG
rnacentral:sRNA from 1 species